AGCAGCCGCGGUAAUUCCAGCUCCAAUAGCGUAUAUUAAAGUUGCUGCAGUUAAAAAGCUCGUAGUUGAAUUUCGGGACCAUCAUGUCGGUCGUGCCUCGGUACGUACUGGUAUUGUUGGUUUCUCCCUUCUGCAGAACCAUGAUGUCAUUUAUUUGGUGUUGUGGGGAAUCAGGACUGUUACUUUGAAAAAUUAGAGUGUUUAAAGCAGGCUCACGCUUGAAUACAUUAGCAUGGAAUAAUGAAAUAGGACGUUUGAUUCUAUUUUGUUGGUUUCUAGGAUCGACGUAAUGAUUAAUAGGGAUAGUUGGGGGCAUUAGUAUUCAAUUGUCAGAGGUGAAAUUCUUGGAUUUAUUGAAGACUAACUACUGCGAAAGCAUUUGCCAAGGAUGUUUUCAUUAAUCAAGAACGAAAGUUAGGGGAUCGAAGACGAUCAGAUACCGUCGUAGUC
rnacentral:rRNA from 1 species